AUGCAGGAAGGAGUUGGUCUACUUGUCACGGACGUGAUGCAUAUAUACAUGAUCAUGCCUAGAUAUUCUCAUAAUUAUUCGUUUUUCUAUCAAUUGCUCGACAGUAAUUUGUUCACCCACCAUAAUACUUAUGCUAUCUUGAGAGAAGCCACUAGUGAAACCUAUGGCCCCCGGGUCUAUUUUCCAUCAUACAAGUUUCCAAUCUAUUUUAUUUUACAAUCUUUACUUUCCAUCUAUAUCAUAAAAAUACCAACAAUAUUUAUCUUAUUAUUAUCAUCUCUAUCAGAUCUCACUAUUGCAAGUGGCCGUGAAGGGAUUGACAACCCCUUUAUCGCGUUGGUUGUGAGGUUCUUAUUUGUUUGUGUAGGUACGAGGUGA
rnacentral:rRNA from 1 species